AUUGAACGCUGGCGGCAUGCCUUACACAUGCAAGUCGAACGGCAGCAUGGAGAGCUUGCUCUCUGAUGGCGAGUGGCGAACGGGUGAGUAAUGCAUCGGAACGUACCGUGUAAUGGGGGAUAACGUAGCGAAAGUUACGCUAAUACCGCAUACGACCUGAGGGUGAAAGCAGGGGAUCGCAAGACCUUGCGUUAUACGAGCGGCCGAUGUCAGAUUAGCUAGUUGGUGAGGUAAAGGCUCACCAAGGCGACGAUCUGUAGCGGGUCUGAGAGGAGGAUCCGACACACUGGGACUGAGACACUGCCCAGACUCCUACGGGAGGCAGCAGUGGGGAAUUUUGGACAAUGGGGGCAACCCUGAUCCAGCCAUGCCGCGUGAGUGAAGAAGGCCUUCGGGUUGUAAAGCUCUUUCGGCCGGGAAGAAAUCGCACAGGCUAAUACUCUGUGUGGAUGACGGUACCGGCAUAAGAAGCACCGGCUAACUACGUGCCAGCAGCCGCCGUAA
rnacentral:rRNA from 1 species